rnacentral:tRNA from 1 species
GCCGUUGUAGCUCAGUUGGUUAGAGCGUGUGCAUGGUAAGCACAAGGUCGACGGUUCGAUUCCGUCCAACGGCUCCA